UUCAGCUACUUGAUUGCAUCAAUGGGACUACAAGCACUCUGGAGCUUGGGACUUGCGUGUCUUGAUGGCUAUGCUUUGAGAAUGAAAAAGGAACUCAACAGUGCUGUUCUCGUGAGCUUAUUCGUUGUUGGAGAUUGGGUGACGUCGAUCCUGUCAUUCGCCGCUUCAUGCUCAGCAGGAGGCGUCGUUGUUCUCUUCGACAAGGAUGCGUACUUCUGCAGCAGGGACCCGCAUCUCCCGUGUGGGACAUUUGAGCUCGCGACCGCGUUUGCAUUCCUUUCCUGGGCGCUUAGUGCCACAUCUGCCCUUGUGAUGUUUUGGCUCCUCGCUUCAUCUUGA
rnacentral:rRNA from 1 species